rnacentral:rRNA from 1 species
CGCGUAGGCGGCGGACCAAGUCGAGUGUGAAAGCCCCGGGCUCAACCUGGGAGGUGCGCUCGAGACUGGUUGGCUGGAGUUCGGGAGAGGAGCGUGGAAUUCCCAGUGUAGAGGUGAAAUUCGUAGAUAUUGGGAAGAACACCGGUGGCGAAGGCGGCGCUCUGGACCGAGACUGACGCUGAGGCGCGAAGGCGUGGGGAGCAAACA